AGCAGCCGCGGUAAUUCCAGCUCCAAUAGCGUAUAUUAAAGUUGUUGCAGUUAAAAAGCUCGUAGUUGAAUUUCGGGGUCAGUAGAUUGGUCAUGCCACUGGUAUGUACUGGUCUCACUGAUUCCUCCUUCCUGAUGAGCCGUAAUGCCAUUAAUUUGGUGUUGCGAGGAAUCUGGACUGUUACUUUGAAAAAAUUAGAGUGUUUAAAGCAGGCUAACGCUUGAAUACAUUAGCAUGGAAUAAUGAAAUAGGACGUUCGAUCUUAUUUUGUUGGUUUCUAAGAUUGACGUAAUGAUUAAUAGGGAUAGUUGGGGGCAUUAGUAUUCAGUUGUCAGAGGUGAAAUUCUUGGAUUUAUUGAAGACUAACUACUGCGAAAGCAUUUUGCCAAGGAUAGUUUUCAUUAAAUCAAGAACGAAAAGUUAGGGGAGUCGAAGACGAUCAGAUACCGUCGUAGUCUUAACCAUAAACUAUGCCGACUAGGGAUCGGAUGAUGUUAAUUUUUAAUGACCCAUUC
rnacentral:rRNA from 1 species